AGAACAGUUGGCAUCAGCUCUUAAUAAAGACAGGAAAAGCCUAACAAAGGCCUCUGAAGAGGCAAUAAACUUGUCCUCCAACUCCUCUUCUGACACCUUAUUUGCGGCUUCCAAUUCAUCAUCUCACUCCUCCACUGACAUAGACACAUCGUCAGAUGAAAAACAUACCAGAGAGCCCAAAGUCCAAUACAUGUGGUGUCCCGAUACAAAAGUAUUCUGCAGCUCUUCAGAAGAGGAGGGAAUAUGGCUACAGGUUUCAAGCACUAUGGAGUGGACAGGAGCACAGUUGUCAUCACUGCUCCAAUUGCAGAGCUUUCUAUUGUUGCCCCUAGCAAGUAUAAAGAUGUCUUGGAAAACCUACAGCCAUCAGGUUAAGCUCUCUGU